CCGGUAGAUUCGUCCUCCUGCUGCUGCUGCUGCUGAAGUCCGUUCCUGUGUGAAAGCGUGCUCAGUGGUUAAUCGGUUUAGACUCGUUAAACUAGAAAUCUGUGCUUGUAAGAUGGGUGUGAAGCGGGACGUGUGCAUUUUUUUCUUAUUAUUAUCAGCAUUACAUAUAAUUAUUGCAGAAAAAUGUGACUGUAUUUGAUUUAGAGCCAAAAGGUUGCACGGAUCAGUGUAACUAGGCCGCAUUGCCGAGGAAACAGAUAUGGGCGGAUGAUGUUAUCGGAUCGUUGCAGAGUUCUGGGGUGAAUCCACGUGGACAGGACGAUAAAGGAGCUGUGCGUGUUUGAUCGACCUCUGAAUCAAUAGCACUGGGCUGCCGUUCAGAUGUGAUGUGUGAAAAUGGACCAGGAUAAUAAAAAUCACAAGGUGACACGAUGGUGGUCUUACAAAUGACAAUGUUUUUGCUUUCCCUCAUGUAUUCAUAUACUGGAAAAUAAAUGACUGUGUGAAUAAAGCAUUUGACUCCAUAUUCCUCUUUCUUUAUAAGCCAUUGAUUUUGAUAAUGCACAUUUUUGAACCGGAAUGGCCUUUUCAGUGGUCAUACACAAAGGUCAAAAGCAGUGCAAGAGCAUAUCUUGUCAUAACUGGGGUUUCUUGGCAAUUUUACCAAGUCUCUCUUUUAGAGCAAGGUACAAAUAUAAUUUUGCCAAUGUCAUGCUUUCUCAAAACUCCCAAACAUAAGUAGUACUCGGGAGGCAUUUGUAUUUACUGCAAAUUGUGGGAAGGGCGUGGCAUUAUAGGUUUUGAGAUGACCAUCGUUGGUGUGAUUAAAAAUUAAGUUAAUUUGUCUUCUGUAGGUCAAACAAUUACUAGAUGCCUUCUCACCUGGUCCUGUCCUCAAUUUAACUUUUUUAUAUCACAAGAACAGAGAUACAGUAAAUAUUUACAAGCAAAGGGUUUAUUUGAUCCACAAUGAUCAGAACUAACAUUCUGUGACAUCACUGAACACAACAGUAAUGUUUUUUACCAUCACUGAAAAUGAACAACACUGACUGAAACUUGUGGAAACAAAGGACAUGUCUUAACAGACAAGUAAUGGCACAAAAACUUUUUUUUUUCUUUUUUAAAUCUGACCUCAAUUGAUGCAACUAAUGUGGUGGAUCACAAUGGAGGAAUGUUUAUUUUAAAGGCACUUUCUGCCUUAUACACUUAGCCAACACACACAUUUUAAUGUAAAAUAUGUACAGUUCACCUGUAAAGCAGCGGAGUGUCUUGGCAAAUUUAAAAUUUGCUGUUCUAGUUCAUUUGUGUUACUCCUCUUAUCCGUGUACACUACAAAAACAACAAAUCCAUGAAUAAUUCAACAGAAAUGAGCAUUCAUUAGCUGGAUGUCUGCCGACAACAGUACGUAAUAUGGCUAAUAUCCAGUAUGUCACCAAAAUAAAAUGGUUAGAAAUGGG